AAACACUAGACAGUCCUGAAAGGUGCAGAAAACACUAGACAGUCAGAAAACACUAGACAGUCCUGAAAGGUGCAGAAAACACUAGACAGUCCUGAAAGGUGCAGAAAACACUAGACAGUCCUGAAAGGUGCAGAAAACACUAGACAGUCCUGAAAGGUGCAGAAAACACUAGACAGUCCUGAAAGGUGCAGAAAACACUAGACAGUCCUGUAAGGUGCAGAAAACACUAGACGGUCCUGAAAGGUGCAGAAAACACUAGACAGUCCUGAAAGGUGCAGAAAACACUAGACAGUCCUGAAAGGUGCAGAAAACACUAGACAGUCCUGAAAGGUGCAGAAAACACUAAACAGUCCUGUAAAGGUGCAGAAAACACUAGACAGUCCUGAAAGGUGCAGAAAACACUAGACUAGACAGUCCUGAAAGGUGCAGAAAACACUAGACGGUCCUGAAAGGUGCAGAAAACACUAGACAGUCCUGAAAGGUUCAGAAAACACUAGACAGUCCUGUAAGGUGCAGAAAACACUAGACAGUCAGAAAACACUAGACAGUCCUGAAAGGUGCAGAAAACACUAGACAGUCCUGAAAGGUGCAGAAAACACUAGACAGUCCUGUAAGGUGCAGAAAACACUAGACGGUCCUGUAAGGUGCAGAAAACACUAGACAGUCCUGUAAGGUGCAGAAAACACUAGACAGUCCUGAAAGGUGCAGAAAACACUAGACGGUCCUGAAAGGUGCAGAAAACACUAGACAGUCCUGAAAGGUUCAGAAAACACUAGACAGUCCUGAAAGGUGCAGAAAACACUAGACAGUCCUGAAAGGUGCAGAAAACACUAGACAGUCCUGAAAGGUGCAGAAAACACUAGACAGUCCUGAAAGGUGCAGAAAACACUAGACAGUCCUGAAAAGUGCAGAAAACACUAGACA